ACAAAAACCUCCGUCACACUCAGAUGAACACAAACUCCACGACACUCACACACACUGAUAUGAGACUCAACAGCAGCAAUGGAUCAUUAAAAAAUGCAGCACAAAAUGUUCAUCUUUAAUACUUAUUGUAUAAAGGCUCAUCACAUUUUCAACACGCAUGUGAUUUUAAACUCUGCUAAUUCUAUUUACCUGCUUUAUAAUGAAAUCUUUAGCAAGAUUUAGAUGGUCAUUCCGUAUUGGAUGACUUCUGACCUGUUAUACAGUAUCAUAGAUGAUCAUAGAAAUCUGCACAUCAGAUAUUAAAUGCUCCCAGCAUCAAAGUCUGAAUGAAACUAAACAUUAAACAGUGUUUGCAGGGUGAAGCUCCACCCAAAAUAACAUGAAGUAAAUUAUAAAUGUCUGCUUGUGAAAAUGGUAAAUAAAAAUUUAAGAAAUAAAAUUGCAAGACUGUGUAUCUCUACUGUCUUGAGGUAAAUGAUCUGGAGUCUGUUUGCAUAUUCAUCAGAUGCUUCAGUGCUCUGAGAGUGUUUAUAGUGCUGUGAGUUUAACACUUCAUCACUGACACACACAACAAUCUUCAUCAACAUGACCUUCAUCAUCAUCUUCAUCUGGACUCUUUUAUACUGCUUUACACUACAAGGGUGUAAAGCUCAGAUCACAGUCACUGAGACUCCAGUGAAAACUGCCACACCAGGAGAAAAUGUUGUGAUGAGUUGUAAACUCAGUUCUCCAGUUAUCAGUUCUAUAGACUGCACCCCACCCUGUGUGGCCUGGUACUUACAGAAACCUGGAGAAGCUCCUAAACUCCUGAUUUAUCAUGCAAGCAGCCGUCAGUCAGGAACUCCAUCUAGAUUCAGUGGCAGUGGAUCUAACAGUGAUUUCACUCUGACCAUCAGUAGAUUCCAGACUGAAGAUGCUGGACAUUAUUACUGUCAGAGUUUUCAUUGCAGAGUACAUAAUUAUGGUGACUGUGUGGGUGAUUAUGUGUUCACACAGUGAUAAAGAGUGAUACAAAAACCUCCGUCAGUCAGAGUCACAGUGACUGAACUGAUGCUGCAGCUGCUCAAACACUAUCACUCACUACUGACACACAGAGACCAAACACAGUAACUACACAUGAGCUCCAAACUGAGCCAGGAGUCAAAUCAGCUCUAUUAAGACUGAUUUGUCUGGCGACAGGCCGGGUUGAUUCAGUUAUGCUCAGAAUCAAAGAAAACAGAGUGUUUAAAGGGGUCAUCGGAUGCUACAUGCACUUUUACAAGUUGUUUGA